CGAUGGCGGCAGGCUUAACACAUGCAAGUCGAGCGGGCAUAGCAAUAUGUCAGCGGCAGACGGGUGAGUAACGCGUGGGAACGUACCUUUUGGUUCGGAACAACUGAGGGAAACUUCAGCUAAUACCGGAUAAGCCCUUACGGGGAAAGAUUUAUCGCCGAAAGAUCGGCCCGCGUCUGAUUAGCUAGUUGGUGAGGUAAUGGCUCACCAAGGCGACGAUCAGUAGCUGGUCUGAGAGGAUGAUCAGCCACAUUGGGACUGAGACACGGCCCAAACUCCUACGGGAGGCAGCAGUGGGGAAUAUUGGACAAUGGGCGCAAGCCUGAUCCAGCCAUGCCGCGUGAGUGAUGAAGGCCCUAGGGUUGUAAAGCUCUUUUGUGCGGGAAGAUAAUGACGGUACCGCAAGAAUAAGCCCCGGCUAACUUCGUGCCAGCAGCCGCGGGAAUACGAAGGGGGCUAGCGUUGCUCGGAAUCACUGGGCGUAAAGGGUGCGUAGGCGGGUCUUUAAGUCAGGGGUGAAAUCCUGGACCUCAACUCCAGAACUGCCUUUGAUACUGAAGAUCUUGAGUUCGGGAUAGGUGAGUGGAACUGCCAGUGUAGAGGUGAAAUUCGUAGAUAUUCGCAAGAACACCAGUGGCGAAGGCGGGUCACUGGCCCGAUACUGACGCUGAGGCACGAAAGCGUGGGGAGCAAACAGGAUUAGAUACCCUGGUAGUCCACACCGUAAACGAUGAAUGCCAGCCGUUAGUGGGUUUACUCACUAGUGGCGCAGCUAACGCUUUAAGCAUUCCGCCUGGGGAGUACGGUCGCAAGAUUAAAACUCAAAGGAAUUGACGGGGGC
rnacentral:rRNA from 1 species